UUCAGAAUAUGGUCCCCUUACUGACUGUAUGACCUGGGACAAGUCACUUAUUUUUAAAUAUCUAAUUUCUCCAAUUCCUGAAUGAUAAAGGGAUUGCAUGCGAUGGUCCCUUAAGAUCCUAUGAUAAGUGGGUAGCACUGUGUACUUUCUAAGACUUUCUAUGUAGCAUGAGGAUAUAUGGUGUGACCCUCACACUCCUUCCUAUUUCUGUUAGAUCCUGGUAAGGCAGAAGCCUGGAGGAAUAAAAAGAGGGCUGGCAGGUGGUGUUAUUUGCAGGUGUAUUUCAGCCAAAUGGAUGGAAGGAGACAAAUCAUGCCUUUCCUGUCUUUUGCACAGGAUGGGGACAGCUGUAUCUUCUCAUGCUUUCCUGCUGCCAGGGAUCAGAUUCCACUGGCAGGAGGGGGAUCCAGCAGAGACCUCAAAAUCUCUUAUUGGCCAGAGGCUAUGUCUGACAUGAGACCAAAUAUCCCAGGUCACAGUACUGAUGUCCUCAGCAUGAAAUCCAGCAGGCAGAUGGAUAAAGCACUCCCCAGAUGCAUAGGGGUGUUGUGUCCUGACAGGCAGCUUUCAGUGCCUUCCACAGAUGUUUAUAAGAGCUGAGCUUUGGCUACAUCUGUUCUGCAGGGCAAGGGGAGAAGGGGUGGGGUGAGAAGGAAGAGGGGCAAGAUUGGAGAGCCAAGAGACAGAAAGAACAGGGCAAGAUGGGGGGAGUAGAGGGAAGGAUGGAAAGGAAGAAAAGAUGGAAGAAUAGUGAGAGAGGGGGAAAUGGGGAAUAUGGAAGAAUACAGGGAGAGAGAAGGGAAGAGAAAGGAAGAGAGGAUGAUGAUUAUAAUUUUCAAUUAUAUGGUGAUUUAAGGUUUGUAUUUUGUAUGCAUUUAUUCAUUUCAGCCUCAGAAUAACCCUGUGAAAUAAGUACCAUGGGUAUUAUAAACCCCAUUUUAAAGAUGAGGAAAUAGAAGCUUAGAAAUCUCAAGUAACUGGAAGUUUUUACUCAUCAUUUGUUUCAGUCAUAUCUGACUUUACCAUCCCAUUUGGGCUUUUUUUUUGGUAAAGAUACUAGAAUGGCUUGCCAUUUCCUUCUACAGCUCAUUCUACAGAUGAGGAAACUGAGGCAACAAGGGUUAAGUGAUUUGCCCAGGAUCACACAACUAGUAAGUAUCUGAGGUUAGAUUUGAAUUUAGGAAGAGGAAUCUUCGUGCCUCAAGGCCCAGUACUCUAUCUACUGUACUACCUGGCUGCUCCAACUAAGGUGAAUGGCUUAAAUCAAGAUGCAGAGAGGGAAGUGGGAUUGAGGAGGAGGACUACAAGAGGAAAGAGAUCAAGAAGUUGGGUUUGAGGGAAGACACUGAUGGUUGGACCUGAAUUAUCCUUUUCCCCUUCUAGUUGCUGUUGCUUUUCCUAUGGUGGAAUUCAUCCUGACUUUGUUAAUAGAACUGUUCUUUGCUAUAUGGAAUAGCCAUUUUUAAGCUAAAUUGGCCAUUGUAAGGAUGAUAUUAGAAAAUAAGUAUUGUUUUAUUAGUUUAGGGAUAAAAAGUAGAGUGGCUGGCUUGAGAAAGAACUGGAGUUUGAAGGAGAGCUGAGAGAAUGUGUUAAUUUCAGAUGUUGACAGUUAUAACUGUUUUUCUGUGUCAAUUACUCUAUCUGGCAGUUGGGAGUUGAUCUCUGGCAGUUGGCAGAGACACACACUCUGAGGCUCUCUAUCAGGGCUGGAGGAAAUAACGUCUUUGCCCCUCUCUCUAUCUGAGGGAAAGAACUGAAGGAGCUCAGUGUUUUCCUUUCCCAACUUGGGAAACACUAUUGAAUAUCUAUUGUGGUUUUUACAGAUUGUUUAACUCUGAGAAGACCAAAGAAAAACCUGGUCUUUAGUUUGGACUACGAGUCUGAGUCUUGAAUUCUUGCAAAGGGGACCCAUCCCAAACCCCAGGGGUUCACCUCAAGUCCUCCACAACACUUCCAGCUCUAAAUCUAUGAUCUUAAUGACUGCCUGCUGCUAUUAUUGGUGCUGCCAAUUUUGCCAGUUCAGGAGGAACUAGUGCCUUGAUGUUUCAGAUCUCUCUCAAGGAUACAAUUGUGGAUGGACUGCUAUUCCCUGUGAAGAAGAUAGCAAUACCAAAAAUGACCAUUUAAAAAUUCUCCAAUGUAGAAAGCAACAUUAUAAUGAUAAUCAACUGUGGAAGACUCAGCAACACUAACCAAUACAACAAUCCAUGAGAGGUCUAAAGAACUCAUAAUGAAAUAAACUCUCCACCACGUGGCAGAAAACUUCCAGACACUUAAAUCAGACAACUACACCCUUCUGCUGUUUCAUGUGGACACAAAUGAUACUACCAGAACAAAUCUAGGAGUGUUGUCAAAGAUUACGUAGUCUUAGGCAAGAAUACCUUAGGGGCAUUGGCAGUGUUUUCAUCUGCCAGUCAUGGACAAAGCCUAGAAAAUAAAAGCCAAUGUGAGAGAGUUGAACAACUGCUUAAGAUGAUAUCUAAUACCUCCUUCCACUCCUUGGCAAAGGUGGGAGGUUCAUGGGUGUGGAAUGUCAUAUUUUCAGACUUUUUCAGUAUAUUGAUUCAUUUUGCUUGUUUUUUUUUCCCUUCUUAUACUUAAAAAAAAAGUUCUUUAUUAUAUGGGAUGUCUCUGGGAGGGAGAGGUUUCUGGAAGAAACUUAGAUGUAAAAAACAAGUUACUAUUAAAUAUUAAUUUUUAAGAUA